rnacentral:rRNA from 1 species
AACGAACGCUGGCGGCAGGCCUAACACAUGCAAGUCGAGCGCCCCGCAAGGGGAGCGGCGGACGGGUGAGUAACGCGUGGGAAUAUGCCCUUUGCUACGGAAUAGUCUCGGGAAACUGGGGGUAAUACCGUAUACGCCCUUUGGGGGAAAGAUUUAUCGGCGAAGGAUUAGCCCGCGUUGGAUUAGGUAGUUGGUGGGGUAAUGGCCUACCAAGCCGACGAUCCAUAGCUGGUUUGAGAGGAUGAUCAGCCACACUGGGACUGAGACACGGCCCAGACUCCUACGGGAGGCAGCAGUGGGGAAUCUUAGACAAUGGGGGCAACCCUGAUCUAGCCAUGCCGCGUGAGUGAUGAAGGACUUAGGGUUGUAAAGCUCUUUCAGCUGGGAAGAUAAUGACGGUACCAGCAGAAGAAGCCCCGGCUAACUCCGU